rnacentral:rRNA from 1 species
CCUAUAUUAGAUUAGUUAGUUGGUGAGGUAAAGGCUUACCAAGACAAUGAUCUAUAGCUGAUCUGAGAGGAUGAUCAGCCACACUGGAACUGAGAUACGGUCCAGACUCCUACGGGAGGCAGCAGUGGGGAAUAUUGGACAAUGGGCGAAAGCCUGGAUCCAGCCAUGCCGCAUGAGUGAAGAAGGCCUUCGGGUUGUAAAGCUCUUUUAGUGAGGAAGAUAAUGACGGUACUCACAGAAGAAGUCCUGGCUAACUCCGUGCCAGCAGCCGCGGUAAUACGGAGAGGGCUAGCGUUAUUCGGAAUCAUUGGGCGUAAAGGGCGCGUAGGCGGGUUAGUAAGUUAAAAGUGAAAUCCCAAGGCUCAACCUUGGAACUGCUUUUAAAACUGCUAGUCUAGAGAUUGAAAGAGGAUAGAGGAAUUCCUAGUGUAGAGGUGAAAUUCGUAAAUAUUAGGAGGAAUACCAGUGGCGAAGGCGUCUAUCUGGUUCAAAUCUGACGCUGAGGCGCGAAGGCGUGGGGAGCAAACAGGAUUAGAUACCCUGGUAGUCCACGCUGUAAACGAUGAAUGUUAAAUAUGGGAAGUUUACUUUCUGUAUUAUAGCUAACGCGUUAAACAUUCCGCCUGGGGACUACGGUCGCAAGAUUAAAACUCAAAGGAAUUGACGGGGACCCGCACAAGCGGUGGAGCAUGUGGUUUAAUUCGAUGCAACGCGAAAAACCUUACCACUCCUUGACA